rnacentral:tmRNA from 1 species
GGGACUGAUUUGGUUUCGACAUUUAAUAGUUGUUAAUAUAUGUCAGGUCAAAGUUUGUACUCUUUGUAAAAAAGACUAAAUUAUUAAUAAAUGCUAACAAUAUAAUCCCUUUUAUCUUUAAGCUAGUAAAACCAAAAACUCACACAAGUGUUUUAAAUUUUGCUGUUUAAGUAGUUAACUUAUAUUAUUAAAUCUUUUUUCGCUAUCGCUAGACUUUUUGUUAUUAGAUAGUUUAGACUAAAUUUAAAUUUUAAAAGUUGUUCAAGUUUUUUGAACUAAACCUGUAAAUACUUAUAUUAAUAGACAUUAGAUGGACAUGGGUUCAAUUCCCAUCAGUUCCA